CAGUGGGUGAAGUGCAGAAGUUUCCUGGGGACCCUGGAAAAUGAUGCCGGGUCUGCCAAGAAAAGUGGGGCCAAAAGAGCAGGACCUGGGUCUGCGAGUGUGGGAGAAACAAGGGAGAGAGCAAUGGCCGGGUCAUCCUCUGCCUCCAGGAGGGAGGGCAGCAGGAAAGGCCAUGGACUAAACCACUGAAGUGCUGUUCCCCAGGGAGCCCCUGCACAGCACUGAACUUGCCUCUGCACUUGCUGUCCCUUUCCCAGCGGAGCCGAAGCGUCGGGUGCGGGUGCCGGGGGGAUGGAGCUGCCAAGGACAAACUGGGAGGGUGUUUGCGAAGGAAGGGGGUAGAAGGAGCUCUUGAUGUGCUUUUUUUACUUCUUCAUCCCACAGAAUUGCCACAAGAGGAAAUACCUCAGAGGGGCUUCCCUCCAGAUAAGCCCUGAAUAUGCCAGGAGGUUUCAGCCGGGAGAAAGGAGCUGUGGAAGAAAACCAGCCUAAAAAUAGCCAGUGAGGAUCAUCAGGUUUUCCAGCCAAGAAAAACAAGGACGGAGAUGAGGGAAUCGGGUUCCAAUUAAUAAUGAUUUGGAAGUGGGCUGUGACAAGGGAAUUGGCUCCCACGAGGCCAAGGAUCAGAGCGGGCUCUGCACAGGGGACGACUUCCACUUCCGAACGGGGAAGGGCACCUUUGUCCCCAACCCCGGCAAACUGGGGUGGAGUAACAUCUGCCUGCAGCUGGCUGGAGUUCCUGUUGGCUCUGGGCUUUCUGUCCACGGGCCGGGGAUCAUGGCCAGAGUCAUUCAAACCUGGGGAACAGUGGCCUUCACACCAUCCCUGCAGCCCGUCCAGGGCAGGCUGCUGCCCAUCGGCCCCUGAUCGCAGGUGGAUGUAGAAGUGAUGGUGUUUAGGGAAUGCUGAUUGUAUUUCCCUGACUUUAGCAACGUGGUCAUUAAAAAGAGAAAAAUAACAAGUC